rnacentral:rRNA from 1 species
UACGUAGGGACCAAGCGUUGUUCGGAUUUACUGGGCGUAAAGGGCGCGUAGGCGGCGUGUUAAGUCACUUGUGAAAUCUCUAAGCUUAACUUAGAAACGGUCAAGUGAUACUGAUGUGCUAGAGUGCAGAAGGGGCAACCGGAAUUCUUGGUGUAGCGGUGAAAUGCGUAGAUAUCAAGAGGAACACCUGAGGUGAAGACGGGUUGCUGGGCUGACACUGACGCUGAGGCGCGAAAGCUAGGGUAGCAAACGGG